ensembl:misc_RNA Metazoa_SRP Metazoan signal recognition particle RNA
ACUCAGGUGUGGUGGUGCGCACCUGUGGUCCUAGCUACUUGGGAGGUUGAGGCAGGAGGAUUGCUUGAGCCCACGACUUGGAGGUUGCAGUGAGCUAUGAUUAUGGAUCUUGCCACUGCACUCCAGCUUGGGCAACAGAGCAAGACCCUGUCUCUA